GAUGAACGCUGGCGGCGGGCCUAAUACAUGCAAGUCGAGCGAACAGACGAUGAGCUUUCUCCUUUAACGUUGGCGGCGGGCGGGUGGGUAACACGUGGAUAACCUUCUUCUAAUUCGUGGAGAACUUCGGGAAACCGCAUCUAAUACCAGAUCAUAUGUUGAACCGCUUAGUUCAAUAGUUAUUCGCAGUUUUCGUGUCUCUUAUAGCCGAAUCCGCGCCGCAUUAGCUAGUUGGUAAGGUAACGGCUUACCAAGGCUACGAUGCGUAGCCGACCUGAGAGGGUGAUCAGCCACACUGGAACUGAGACACGGUCCAGACUCCUACGGGAGGCAGCAGUAGGGAAUAUUCCGCAAUGGGCGAAAGCCUGAUGGAGCCAUGCCGCGUGAGUGAUGAAGGUCUUCGGAUCGUAAAACCCUGUUAUUAGGGAAGAAAAGAUGUGUAAGUAACUACGGACGUUCUGACGGUACCUAAUGAGAAAGCAACGGCUAACUACGUG
rnacentral:rRNA from 1 species